GACGAACGCUGGCUGCGUGCCUAACACAUGCAAGUCGAACGCAGUGGGGACGGGUGAGUAACACGUGGGUAACCUCCCCUCAGAGGGGAUAACACUUGGCAACAGGUGCUAAACCGCUACUGAUGGAUGGACCCGCGGGGCAUUAGAUAGUUGGUUGGGUAACGGCUCACCAAGGCCACGAUGCAUAGCUGACCUGAGAGGGUGAUCGGCCACACUGGGACUGAGACACGGCCCAGACUCCUACGGGAGGCAGCAGUAGGGAAUCUUCGGCAAUGGACGAAAGUCUGACCGAGCAACGCCGCGUGAGUGAAGAAGGUUUUCGGAUCGUAAAACUCUGUUGUUAGAGAAGCGGUAUCUAACCAGAAAGCCACGGCUAACUACGUGCCAGCCGCCGCGGUAAUAC
rnacentral:rRNA from 1 species